rnacentral:lncRNA from 10 species
CGCAGGAGGCGGGCGGCCCGGGCCCCACCGGCCCCCCAUGGACGCCCCCAGCACGGGGCGCUGAGACCCCCGCGUCGCUGCCCAGCCCGGUCCGGCGCGCCACGCCGAGGGAUCUCUGGACAGGACAAGACUCCGAAGCUACUCCCCCAGCACACAGCCCGGGACCCACAAACCCAGCUUGCCCCCAGCCCUCCCACCUGCCACUCCCUGGCCCCUCCCACCGCCCGCCCCCCUUGGGGCGCAGGGCAUGGUGUGAAAGGCCAAGUGCUGAGGCGGGUAUCAUGGGUGCUGUGCCCUAGGGCCUGGGUGGCAGGGGGUGGGUGGCCUGUGGGUGUGCCGGGGGGGCCAGUGUGCCCACCCCAGUCUCUUGGCGUGCUGGAGGGCAUCCUGGAUGGAAUUGAAGUGAAUGGAACAGAAGCCAAGCAAGGUGGAGUGUGGGUCAGACCCAGAGGAGAACAGUGCCAGGUCACCAGAUGGAAAGCG